rnacentral:lncRNA from 1 species
CCCACCUGCAGGAGGGGGAAAAGCUGCUGCUGGGAGUUCAGGGGUGGGGCCCCUGUGUGUUCAAGCCCUGCCAGGGGGGGAAAGUGCCGGGUUCAGGGUGUGGUCUCUGCCCCAACCCACCUGCGGGAGGAAGGGUCCGCUGGGAGUUCAGAGGGUGGGCAGCACACAGAUUGUGUUCAGGCUGUGCCAGGGCUGGGGAUGUGCCAGGUUCAGGUUGUGAUCCUGCAGCCAGAGCUGUGCCAGGCUCAGGGUCCUGCAGCCAGAGCUGUGCCAGGCUCAGGCUCAGGGUCCUGCACCCAGAGCUGUGCCAGGAUCAGGUUGUGAUCCUGCACCCAGAGCUGUGCCAGGCUGUGAUCCUGCAGCCAGAGCUGUGCCAGGCUGUGAUCCUGCACCCAGAGCUGUGCCAGGAUCAGGGUCCUGCAGCCAGAGCUGUGCCAGGAUCAGGGUCCUGCAGCCAGAGCUGUGCCAGGCUCAGGGUCCUGCAGCCAGAGCUGUGCCAGGCUCAGGGUCCUGCAGCCAGAGCUGUGCCAGGCUCAGGGUCCUGCAGCCAGAGCUGUGCCAGGCUCAGUGGAUCCUGCAGCCAGAGCUGUGCCAGGCUCAGGGUCCUGCACCCAGAGCUGUGCCAGGCUGUGUGUGCACAGCCAGGGGGAUGCCAAGGCUGUGCCCAAGCCCAGGGCCCUGCUCUGGCAGCCCAGGGUCAUCAGAGAGCUGGCACUGCUGCCUGGGCACCCAGUGCUGGCAGGGAGGGUGACUCGGGGCUAGGACUGGCUUUAGUCUUGCCUGGAAUGUUUGUCCUGCUGCCUCCCACACCCCCAGGGCAGGGGGAUUGUGCCCCUGUGCCCAGGUGAGAGCCCACCUGCCCUGGGCAUUCCAAAAGCACAAGGACCUGGAGCUGCUGCAGAGAGCCCAGAGGAGCCCUGGAGCCAGGCUGGGAGAGCUGGGGGUGCUCACCUGGAGAGGAGAAGGAUCCAGGGAGAGCUCAGAGCCCCUGGCAGGGCCUGAAGGGGCUCCAGGAGAGCUGCAGAGGGACUGGGGACAAGGGAUGGAGGGACAGGAGCCAGGGAAUGGCUCCCACUGCCAGAGGGCAGGG